rnacentral:rRNA from 1 species
CAGAGGGUGCGAGCGUUGUUCGGAAUUACUGGGCGUAAAGCGCGCGCAGGCGGUCCUUUAAGUCUACCCGUGAAAUGCCGGAGCUCAACUCCGUGCACGCCGGGGGAUACUGGGGGACUGGAGACAUGUAGAGGCAAGCGGAAUUCCGGGUGUAGCGGUGGAAUGCGUAGAUAUCCGGAAGAACACCUGAGGCGAAGGCGGCUUGCUGGGCAUGAUCUGACGCUGAGGCGCGAAAGCGUGGGGAGCAAACAGGAUUAGAUACCCUGGUAGUCCACGCCGUAAACGAUGGGCACUAGACGCGGGUGGGAUCGACCCCUUCCGUGUCGCAGCCAACGCGAUAAGUGCCCCGCCUGGGGAGUACGGCCGCAAGGCUG